rnacentral:rRNA from 1 species
UACAGAGGUGGCAAGCGUUGUUCGGAAUUACUGGGCGUAAAGGGCGCGUAGGCGGUUCGUUAAGUCCUGUGUGAAAUCCCCCGGCUCAACUGGGGAACUGCACAGGAAACUAGCGGGCUUGAGUUCGGGAGAGGGAAGCGGAAUUCCGGGUGUAGCGGUGAAAUGCGUAGAUAUCCGGAGAAACACCGGUGGCGAAGGCGGCUUCCUGGACCAACACUGACGCUGAGGCGCGAAAGCUAGGGGAGCAAACGGG